CUCGAGAAGAGAAGCGUCGCUUAGUGCGCUGACAGCGCGGUUCAGCCCGUGGGGCUGGAGCCGAAUAGGAUUCACUGAAUCUGCGGCUUUCAUGAAGUCUCCCUACGAGGUCCUUCACUUUGCUCCUCAACGUGGAUUUCCCCCACCCCCUGCCAUUCUAGGCUCCCUCCCUCCGUCGCUGCCGGACUCCCUCCUCCGUCGCUGCCCACACGCGCACUCCUCUGUCCCGCGGUGGCCCCAGCGCCCAGCCCUCCAGCCAGAGGGAGCCAGUCACCAGACGGCAGCACCUGGCUGGAGAGGUUGGGCCGGCGGAGGGUGGGGAUCCGCGGGAAUCGGAGAGCCUGGAGCUGGAACAGAAGCUGGACCAACCGUGAGCAGAAGAAUGGAGUCUCCCAACAGCCUGCCGAGGCUGAUGUGAAAUUGGACCAUCUGCUUCCAGUUCGUCUGUUACCUCUUCUUUUUGUAUUUUCUUCCCUCGCCAUUCACAGAGGAGUGAAUUAUCAAAUCUUGCUCCGUUCCAAGAGAGGCGACCACGAUGAAGUGAACCCACCCUGUCCGCCACAAGGAAAAGCACAAAGAAGAAAUGACAAUGGCCAAGUUAACUGAAUCCAUGACGAAUGUCCUGGAAGGCGAUUCCAUGGACCAAGAUGUGGAGAGCCCGGUGGCCAUUCAUCAGCCAAAGUUGCCUAAGCAGGCCAGGGAUGACCUGCCAAGACAUAUCAGUCGAGACAGGACAAAAAGGAAAAUCCAGAGGUACGUGAGGAAGGAUGGGAAGUGUAACGUCCACCAUGGCAAUGUGAGGGAGACCUACCGAUACCUGACGGACAUCUUCACCACCCUCGUGGACCUCAAGUGGAGAUUCAACCUGUUGAUUUUCGUCAUGGUCUACACUGUGACAUGGCUCUUCUUUGGGAUGAUCUGGUGGCUAAUUGCAUACAUCCGGGGAGACAUGGACCACAUAGAGGACCCCUCAUGGACUCCCUGUGUCACCAACCUCAACGGGUUUGUCUCUGCUUUUUUGUUCUCAAUAGAGACAGAAACCACCAUCGGUUAUGGCUACCGGGUCAUCACAGACAAGUGCCCCGAGGGAAUUAUCCUCCUCUUAAUUCAGUCCGUGUUGGGGUCCAUUGUCAACGCAUUCAUGGUAGGAUGUAUGUUUGUGAAAAUAUCCCAACCUAAGAAGCGGGCAGAGACCCUGGUCUUUUCCACCCACGCAGUGAUCUCCAUGAGGGAUGGGAAACUCUGCCUGAUGUUUCGAGUAGGGGACCUGAGGAAUUCUCACAUCGUGGAGGCUUCCAUCCGAGCCAAGCUGAUCAAGUCCAAACAGACUUCAGAGGGGGAGUUCAUCCCCCUCAAUCAGACGGACAUCAACGUGGGGUACUACACUGGGGAUGACCGUCUCUUUCUAGUGUCGCCUUUGAUUAUUAGCCACGAGAUUAACCAACAGAGUCCCUUCUGGGAGAUCUCCAAAGCCCAGCUCCCUAAAGAGGAGCUGGAGAUUGUGGUCAUCCUGGAGGGAAUGGUGGAAGCCACAGGGAUGACGUGCCAAGCUCGAAGCUCCUACAUCACCAGUGAGAUCUUGUGGGGUUACCGCUUCACCCCCGUCCUAACGCUGGAAGAUGGGUUCUACGAAGUUGACUACAACAGCUUCCAUGAGACCUACGAGACCAGCACCCCGUCCCUUAGUGCCAAAGAGCUGGCCGAGCUGGCUAACAGGGCAGAGCUGCCCCUGAGUUGGUCCGUGUCCAGCAAACUGAACCAACAUGCAGAACUGGAGACAGAAGAGGAGGAGAAGAACCCGGAAGAACAAACGGAGAGGAAUGGUGACGUGGCAAACCUAGAGAAUGAAUCCAAAGUGUAGGCCCUGCUGGGCCAGCCUUUCCCUCCCCUCAGACACAACCCUUCCUUGUCUCUCACGUCCCUCUUUUCUGUUUCUAUCACUUUGAUCUUGAUUUAUUUAUAUUUAAUUUUGGCAUUUCCAGAAAACAAAUCUUCGAGGUGUAAAAUGCCUACCUGCCCUCAGAUGUUCAGAUGGACGAGCAGACAGGGAUUUGGUCGAGGGACAGGGUACCUGUAUUUGUGGCCCAAGCCUGGUCUCCACCCUCAGGAGAGACUUAUCCACUGACCCACUUAAUUGUCCAACAUAUGUCACUAAAAGGAGCUGUCAAGGGUUUUACCCAGUGUCACAGAGGCCACCUGCUUACCGUGGCCAUAGGUCACACAGAGUAGUCCCUUUGGUUUUACAGAGCCCAGUUCAUCUCACCUAGCACAAGGCAGGUGCUUGCCCACUCAGACACUGUGGGUGCAGGACCCAGAUAGCCAAGGAUAGACCACUGUACAUAGAUCUGCCCUAUGGAAUUAUUUUCUUUUGGCAAUUAGUAACAACACUCAGCAUGCACAACAGUACUGUGGAGCCGAAUUCCUAAUAAUGUACAUAGAUGUAUCCUUCAUGUAGCUUGAGAUAUAUAACUUUAGAAGUAAGAAGAAAAAAAAGACUCCUAAUGUACAGUAGGUGUUUCUAUUUUGUUAUCUGUCUCUUUUGAUUAUUUUGAUCCCCUUGACUGCCAGCCCUCUAAAUGCAUGGCCUUCGUUCCAGGUCCCAGGUUGACAGCUGCUGGGGUCCCGUUCUGUUCCCUUGUGAUCCUUCUGUUGACUCUAAUAAGCCAUAGGUCUGAGAACAGUCCAGAGGUCUCGCAGAUUGCAAGUCCCACCAUCCAAAACGCUGAACUACCGUGGCACAUUUACAAAAUGGAUGGUAUUUGUUUAUAGAUGACAAAGGUCUCUCUGACCAGCCUGGGAGGGACUACCAGGAACAGGGACUAGCGCAGCCCCCCACGUGACACUCGCCAUAAACCCUAGCCCUUUGGUGGACAGCAGUUUAAGAAAGCCUUCUGUAAAAUCAUUGACUGCUCUUCUAUGUAGCCAUGAGAAACUGCGGGCAUUUCAUGUGGGCUGUGACAAGUCAGCAGAAGGCGACUUGGGUGUGAAGCCAUGGCUUUCAGGAAGUCAUGCAGUGGGUGGCAAUAUUGCGUUACCAACUCCCUGCUCUCUGACGUCAUCGGGCAAGCCUUUCCCUGGGGCCUGUCCUUGCCAUUUCUUACUCUGGGUUCUUUUUAGUCUCCUCUCAUCAUUACUGUCGCUAUUGUUAUGAAAUGGCCAGAGUCUGGCAUACAAAGGUCCUUCCAGAGUACGAGAAUAUUCCACUACUUGCAAUCUAAUCCAAGGGCCUCUCAAUCAAAAGAGCACAAGCAACAACCAUCAAACCGUUCUCCCUAGCUUAUUUUAAUCUUCAGAGAAGGAGGGAAUGAACAAACAAAUGAAGGCAGGCAACAUGCAUAACAAUCUAAAUUCAAAAUGAAAUGGAAAGUGGACUGGAAAGACACUCUCGGAUGAGGCGUCGGGGGCAGGUGGAGAUUUUGCACCGUAACCGAUCUUUCUCAUUGAUUUUACACCUAUAAACUGUCCGUUCUCUAACAUCAUUGUACAUCAUAGAUACGCAUCGAAGGAUCUAAAUUUAUUUCAGCUCCUGCAGAUGUGCUCAGUUUGAGACUUUGCCCCACGGAGGUCAAAGAGGUCAAACUAGCUGCUCCCCAGUUCCCCUUUGCCACCCCGACCAGACUGUGCAGGGCUUUGCUGUAAUCUGGGCUCCUUGUCUACAAGAGACAGGAAUUAUGGGAAGUGGUUUCUCCAUUCAGCAUUUGGGCUGCCCCUCUCCGUCUGCAGAGAUCUUGCUACCCAAACAACUAUUUCUUGCCUCUGACUCUGGAAAACAAAGCUAUUGGCUGCAGCCCUUCCCCGCCUGCCAGCAUUUCCCUUCGGCAUUGGUUAUUGAUCAAUCAAGUCAUGCAUUCUCUCUGCACACUCUAAGCUGGAGAUGGUGGAGGAGGGAGUCUGUUUCCCAAGAGGCCUGGCCUUAUCUUAGCCUUAGGAAAGAUGCCCUGCUUUGGGGCACCGGCCUGCAGCAGCCCAGGGCAGGGCCUGUGUAGCACAAAGAAAGGUGGGGAAAGCUGCCAAAUGUCUGCUGACUUAGCUCUUGAAGACUCAUUGGCCUUUUUAAAUCUAUGACUGAAGUCUGAAGGGCAAAAUCUCCCCUACUGAUGGGCUGAAAGAGCAGCUUUGAAGUUGCCGGCUUCUCGCCUGCUCUUCAGGACACCUGGACAAUAGGCCUGUGCACAGCCAUGCUGUGACCUCAGCAGGACACUCUAAUGGGAGGUCUCUCUCUGCCUCUCAGGGUCUUGAUGUCACUGUGAUUGGUGGCGCAAGAGGAGCAAAAUCCUGUGUGUGACGUGAGCUCAGAAUCCUUAAAGACGGGAGCUCCUGAAGGACCUUUUAUUAGAAUGUCCUUAUCAAACGUGUCUAUUUUUCUACACUCACCAAGAAAACGGUUUGACAGUGUAUUUUGUGUCUACUGUUAAAAUUUGAAAGAAGGUCAUUACGACUGAAUUUUCUAAGCAAGUAGUCAAUGGGGUUUUUCAUUAAGCUAAUACAACAAAAGGGACCCCCAAUGCCUCCCCUUUCUAAAGUCCACGAUCCCCAGUCCCUCUCUCCGCCAGUAGAUCAAGUGCUAUGAAAAUAUACCAGGAACUAAGCGAUCCACAACCAAUAGAGAGCGCUCUCACUCUCUCUUUCUCUCUCCCUCCCUCCUCCCCUCCGAUAGUUUGGACUAAUUGGUUGGUGUCUCCAAGUCAUUAUUUCCCCAUAAAGCACAGUGAGAUCCAUGGUCCAGAUAAGACCCUGGAACUCAAGGGGGACAUUUGUCACAAUUGACCCCAAUCCAACAGAGCAAAAGAGCUCCCUGAGGUUCGUCUGGAAGGGAGGGGUUGAGGAGAUCCCCGCUGUCCUCCUCUACUGACCCCCCCUACCAUUAUCUUCCUAGGGAGAGUCCCUAUUCAUUUACAGAUUGACUUUAUGUAAUCAAUACAGCUGUUUGCUUCUGGCAGCCCCCUGGGCACAUGGCUAACACAUGCUAACACACGCUAACACAUUAGAAUCCGUUCAUCCUUUUCAGGUCCUUCUGAACAUCGUGUUAGGGUAUGACUGUGACUCUAGCCAUGAGGGGGAACCCCUCUUCCUCUACUCCCUUCCUCUUUGUCCCCCUGUUUUGUUCUCUCUCUAUUCCAGAUCUAUUGAUUUCAUUUAGUACCUAACUUUCCCAGAACGUCGACCUGUUUCCUAAGCACAACUUUUCUCUUACAGGUUUAAUCAACAUAGGACUCUGACAUGCCUGGGUUUAUUUUUUUUCAUUAUACUUUAAUUGAAAUUUAUUUGUGGCUCCGUUUUAAAGCCCAGAUGGUCACAGUUUGCUUUUCUGCGUGAAUGUAAGAGGGCACCUUUGGAGUAUUUGGAGACGGGCUGACCAAGGUGUGCCGCAGGGAGAGCAAGGAAAACACACCAGAUCCUUUAGCUGAGAGACACAUGAAAACAGACAGACCACUCCCUACCCAGACAACUGGCCCAGAGUAGGCUGUUUCUUCCCUGUCUCUAGAAAUGCUCUAAACAACCCAGAAGCCAAGAAGGUGGCUCCAAAUGAAAUGGCCCCCAUUCAUGACCAGCUAAGAUGUCUCGUUCCUACGACUUCAGUUCAGCGGAUAGCUGUAGAGUUGUAAAACAUAAACCACAUUGACAGGUUGAUUGACAUUACACAACAGCUGUAAUAUCAUCUUGAGUUAGACUUUAUAUCCAGCCUGUAUCUAAGAAAAUGUCACCUUGCAAUCCAGAGUGAAACCUUCCUCUUCCCGAUAUGUCUGCCUUCAGUGUCUCAGAGGGGACUUGUGGUUCAAAAUGUCAUGCAGAAGUCAAGACUGUCCGAAGGUUGCUAGGGGACUUGGACAAUGUGCACAACAAUCUCGACACUGCAUACCUGACAAUAACACAGUAUCUUCCCUGACGCUGGCAGUGAGUGAGAAACACUCCCACAAGUGCCUCCUGGAACGCCAACCCACGGAGGGGUGACGCUGGACUCCUAGUGUGGAUUGAGAAGUGUUUCUUCUAAUUGCAUCCUCUGAAAGAGAUUACAGAGAAUUGCUAUAUUUCCCUCCUUAACUGCUUGGAAGACUCCACCAGAAUGAGCCCAUCUGGACCUAGUGCUUUCUGGCUGGAAAGGUUGUGAAUAAUUUACUUAAAGUCGGGGCUGGAGAGAGGACUCGGCGGUUAAGCUUGCUUAGUGCUCUGCAGAGGGCCUGGGUUUAGUUCCCAGGGCAUAUACGGUGGUCCACAGUGCCAAGGGACUUGGCACCUUCUACUGGCUUCCACGGGCUACCGCAUGUGUGUGGUGCGCAUAAAGCCAUGCAGGCAUUCACGCUCGUACACAUAAAUAAAAAUAAACUAAGUUUUAAAGUUUCUAAU